rfam:TPA: Bos taurus chromosome 16, whole genome shotgun sequence.
UCCCAGUGGUCCAGAUGGCAAAGAAUCUGCCUGCAAUGCAGGAGAACCAGGUUCAAUCCCUGGGUUGGGAU